AACGAACGCUGGCGGCAUGCCUAACACAUGCAAGUCGAACGCUAUCUUUUGAUAGAGUGGCGCACCGGGUGAGGUAAACGCGUGGGAACCUGCCUUUCACUGCGGGACAACGGUUGGAAACGACCGCUAAUACCGCAUACGCCCUACCGGGGGAAAGAGUUUUAUCGGUGAUAGAGGGGCCCGCGUCUGAUUAGCUUGUUGGUAGGGUAAUGGCCUACCAAGGCGACGAUCGGUAGCUGGUCUGAGAGGAUGAUCAGCCACACUGGGACUGAGACACGGCCCAGACUCCUACGGGAGGCAGCAGUGGGGAAUAUUGGACAAGUGGGGGCAACCCUGAUCCAGCAAUGCCGCGUGUGUGAUGAAGGCCUUAGGGUUGUAAAGCACUUUCACUGGUGAAGAUGAUGACGGUAACCAGAGAAGAAGCCCCGGCUAACUUCGUG
rnacentral:rRNA from 1 species